rnacentral:tRNA from 1 species
GGGGCUGUGGUUCGAUGGUAGAGCUUCUGUUUUGUGCUCAUGAGGACCUGGGUUUGAUUCCCGGCAUCUCCA